UACGGAGGGGGCUAGCGUUGUUCGGAAUUACUGGGCGUAAAGCGCACGUAGGCGGAUUUGUAAGUCAGGGGUGAAAUCCCGGGGCUCAACCUCGGAACUGCCUUUGAUACUGCAAAUCUCGAGUCCGGAAGAGGAGAGUGGAAUUCCCGGUGUAGCGGUGAAAUGCGCAGAUAUCGGGAAGAACACCUAUGGCGAAGGCAGCUCUCUGGGACGGUACUGACGCUGAGACGCGAAAGCGUGGGGAGCGAACAGG
rnacentral:rRNA from 1 species